GUGCUUGCUUUGGCAGCACAUAUACUAAAAUUGGAAUGAUACAGAGAAGAUUAGACUGGCCCUUGCAAAAGGAUGACACCCAAACUUGUGAAGCGUUCCAUAUUUAA
ensembl:snRNA U6 U6 spliceosomal RNA